rnacentral:misc_RNA from 1 species
AGGCACAUGAAACACCCAUCACGGAAGUGGCAGUGAACCUCUCGGACCCAGUUCUCCUCACCAAGGAGUUAAUCUCCGGCGAGAAUCCACCAAAAUCAAUCUCCGGCGCUUCAGGGAUGGUGGAAAGAGCGCCGGACUUAUCAUAAACGAUGUAGUAUUCAUGGCCCGGUCGAUCUUUAGCACAAAAUAAGCCGCUAGAAUUCUGUUUAGACUU